rnacentral:lncRNA from 1 species
CUCCAGGCGGCGGGAGGGGUGUCCCCUUCUCCCUGCGCUGCUCGCCUCGCCGCGGCCGCGUCGGGGUUUCUACUAGGAAACCGCUCAGCUGGGCCCUGCAGGGGCCGACGAAUGGUGAGAGUCACCUGGCUUUUAAGGCAUUUCAGAGACACCUACCCGUAGUCCCGCUCCUCAUCCAACCGGUAUCUGUCGAUCGUUGUCUGUCGGUGUUCGGUCUUGCAUUAGGUGAGGCGUAACUCUAGUUUGAAAAAGAUAGAAAAGUCCAGGAGGAUUGGGACUGAGAAAAGGCCUUGGGGUGGUAGCCUUGGGAGCAGUGGGCGUGCGCCAGGUUGCACAGUGUUCAAGGGUGGGUGAGGGCUGCGGACGGGGAGCCGGCCGGGGCACAGGGCGACCUCUCUAGCCGUUUGGUGAUGAAAAGGAGGAGGAAGAAGAUAGAAAUUUGAGGGUUGAGGAGAGGCUUGUUGUUUUUAUUUUUUAAUUCCUGAAUUUUUUAGAGAAAGGACAGUAACGUAGUGGGGAUGCAAGAAAGUCAAGGAAUCUGGGAUAGGGAUGAAUAGGAUUCAGGGUCCAGGCUGG